UGUAGGAGGAAGGGAGUAAUUACUGAGUACUGGGCUUUGUACCUGGGUGAUGAAAUAAUCUGUACAACAAAUCCUCAUGACAUGAGUUUACCUAUGUAACGAACCUUCACGUGUACCUCUAAAGCUAA